rnacentral:rRNA from 1 species
AGUCGAGGGGUAUGCUUCUUCGGAAGCAGAGACCGGCGCACGGGUGCGUAACGCGUAUGCAAUCUACCUUUUACAGAGGGAUAGCCCAGAGAAAUUUGGAUUAAUACCUCAUAGUAUUAUGAAAUGGCAUCAUUUUAUAAUUAAAGUCACAACGGUAAAAGAUGAGCAUGCGUCCCAUUAGCUAGUUGGUAAGGUAACGGCUUACCAAGGCUACGAUGGGUAGGGGUCCUGAGAGGGAGAUCCCCCACACUGGUACUGAGACACGGACCAGACUCCUACGGGAGGCAGCAGUGAGGAAUAUUGGACAAUGGGCGCAAGCCUGAUCCAGCCAUGCCGCGUGCAGGAUGACGGUCCUAUGGAUUGUAAACUGCUUUUAUACAGGAAGAAACCCUGGUUCGUGAACCAGCUUGACGGUACUGUAAGAAUAAGGAUCGGCUAACUCCGUGCCAGCAGCCGCGGUAAUACGGAGGAUCCAAGCGUUAUCCGGAAUCAUUGGGUUUAAAGGGUCCGUAGGCGGUUUAAUAAGUCAGUGGUGAAAGCCCAUCGCUCAACGGUGGAACGGCCAUUGAUACUGUUAAACUUGAAUUAUUAGGAAGUAACUAGAAUAUGUAGUGUAGCGGUGAAAUGCUUAGAGAUUACAUGGAAUACCAAUUGCGAAGGCAGGUUACUACUAAUAUAUUGACGCUGAUGG